CCUACGGGAGGCAGCAGUGGGGAAUAUUGCGCAAUGGGCGAAAGCCUGACGCAGCAACGCCGCGUGCGGGAUGAAGGUCUUCGGAUCGUAAACCUCUGUCAGCAGGGAAGAACGGUCACUGUGCUAAUCAGCAGUAAAUUGACGGUACCUGCAAAGGAAGCACCGGCUAACUCCGUGCCAGCAGCCGCGGUAAUACGGAGGGUGCGAGCGUUAAUCGGAAUUAUUGGGCGUAAAGCGCUCGUAGGCGGUAUGUUAAGUCCAGGGUGAAAUCCCCGCGCUCAACGUGGGAACUGCCUUUGAAACUAGCAAACUGGAGUGUGUGAGAGGUUAGUGGAAUUCCAGGUGUAGGAGUGAAAUCCGUAGAUAUAUGGAAGAACACCAGAGGCGAAGGCGACUAUCUGGCACAAAACUGACGCUGAGGAGCGAAAGCGUGGGUAGCAAACAGGAUUAGAUACCCCUGUAGUC
rnacentral:rRNA from 1 species